UACGUAGGUGGCAAGCGUUGUCCGGAAUUAUUGGGCGUAAAGCGCGCGCAGGCGGUCCUUUAAGUCUGAUGUGAAAGCCCACGGCUCAACCGUGGAGGGUCAUUGGAAACUGGGGGACUUGAGUACAGAAGAGGAAAGCGGAAUUCCACGUGUAGCGGUGAAAUGCGUAGAGAUGUGAAGGAACACCAGUGGCGAAGGCGGCUUUCUGGUCUGUAACUGACGCUGAGGCGCGAAAGCGUGGGGAGCAAACAGG
rnacentral:rRNA from 1 species